GCUUGUGUUAUUGUGUGAAUGCUUUCAGAGAAGAAGGUUGAGAAAGCAGGCAUGAAGAUACACAGCACUUUAUUCGGGUUAUUUAUUCUGUGCUUCUUUCUUCCAUGUGCGAUGUUAAAUUGUCCUCCUCAGUCUUCUGGCACUAAUGGCGAAGAUUUCAUAAUUGAAAAAGGAGUCAUGAGUAUCAGGCUUAAAUCUCACACAAAUAUCAGCAGUUGCUGGAUAAGAGAUUUAACACAGGAAUUUCCCCAAAAAGAAGUUAAUUGUAAGGUCAGCGGCGAACCUCCAGAUCUUACCUUGACUCUUAAUUUAACUACAGACAGGUGUGAGGAAGAUUGGACUUUAUUUAUCAACAAUAGCAUCGGGAUUUCAAACAGAACAUUCAGUUUCAGAAAUAAGACAUUCUCGUACCUAAAGUUCUGGAAAACCUUUCUCUUCCUUGGGUCUUCAUGUGUGCUCUGUGCUACCAUCUUCACUGCUGCAGUCAUCCUUUGUGUUUUCAAUAGAAGGCCAUUGGCCCCUCGUUCAGAAUCCCAAAGAAGAGAAUGAAUACGUACUAAAAGGACUGCCUGUUGUAAAUGCUCCAUCUACUUUCUACCAAUAUAGCCUUCUUCAGUUUAUCACUAACAAGUAAGUAAGUCUUACGUACUAACCCACACGAAAAUUAAUUUACAAGUUGCUGAUUAUAAUAUGAUUAGCUUUAUUCCACAUCAUUUUUGUCAUUUAAUCUAGAAGUGUUAUUAAAAAUGCUUAAAAGUUCUACAUUUCCUUAGUUUCGUUUACCUUUUGACUUACGUAAUCAAGGAUGCACUUAUUUUUGAGUACAAAUGAUGAGCAUACAAUUUUGUUGCAAACUAUUUCUCAGAUGAAAGAAGCGACUGCAUCACAGCUACAGGGGAGGCUACAACUGAGCUACAGGCACCUGUUGGGAAGAAUUCUGACGGCUUGGUCUACGGAGAACUGGACUUUUCAGACAAGAUAACAUCUGAUGUGAUCAUCGGGACCGUGCCGGAGACACAGUAUUCCAACAUCCUCUUUGCAACUAAUGCAGAUACUUCUAAAUAACAUCCCAUUACACUUUUCUCUUAUGCUAUCAAUCUUUGUAUUAUUUUCUGCCAGAACUAAUCGUUUUAUUUAAAUUUGUUUCUGGAUAUUUGAUAACUCUAUUAUUUUUUAAUUUCUUGCUCCAAAUAGAUAAUAAAUUUUAAAAAAAUUCAUUUUUGUGUUUAAAAGCUGCGUUAACUUUCUUUUCUCUCUCCUGACAGACAGUGGCAUGUCUUUGUUGUACUUUAAACAGCUAUGUGUCAGCAAUGAAAAUAAUAUUAUGUCUUGAACAGUUGAGUUUUUGCAUGUACUUUGUCCCUAUGUGACUGACAAUUACUGGUAUGUUAGAACAUUAUACAAAUAUGUGAUAAGAUUGUGCCUAUGUCUCUAAAGCUGUGAGUUCUGCAAAUUUACAUGUCGUGAGGCCUAAUAUUUUCUCUCUUUCUCUCUCUCUCAGUCACAAACACACGAACAUACAAACAAACGCAUAUAAUUAUUUAUUCCGCCAGUUUAGAUAAUGUGUAAAAUGAGUUCCUCAGUCCUAAAAUGAGAUUGCUUAUACUGCAAGUUUCUGUUUCUGUAAGUAAGCAUGCUGACACCAUUGUCCACUGACAGUCAAUAAGCACACAGGAAACAAUGAACAAUUAACA